rnacentral:rRNA from 1 species
GAAGUGUUCGGAUUGCGGCGACGUGGGCGGUCCGCUGCCCGCGACGUUGUGAGAAGUCCUCUGAACCUUAUCAUUUAGAGGAAGGAGAAGUCGUAACAAGGUUUCCGCUAGGAUGAACCUGCGGAAGGAUCAUUG